ACAACGCGCUUUUGGGUAUCCUCUUUCUCUGCUCGUAAACGUUGAUUCCUCACUUUUGCCAAGAUCUAAAACUUUUUUUUUCUUUGCUUCGACCGGUUCCACUCCUGCUGGUAUAUUUAGUAGAAAGACCUGGCGAUAUCGAUUUGGUUUUUAAUUAGGGGACUUCGUUUUGUGGGUGGUUCGAGGGUAGAUGGAGAGCUACGUGAACGACAGGUUUGGCGGGGUGAAGGCGAAGAACUCGUCGGAGGAGGCGCUCCGGCGAUGGCGGAAGCUGUGCUCCGUGGUGAAGAACCCCAAGCGGCGCUUCCGCUUCACCGCCAACCUCUCCAAGCGAUCCGAGGCCGAGGCUAUGAAACGCACAAACCAGGAGAAGUUGCGCAUUGCUGUUUUGGUUUCCAAAGCUGCACUUCAGUUCAUACAGGGUGUCAAAGUAUAUGGUGAAUACGUUGUACCUGAUGAAGUUAAGGCAGCUGGGUUUCAGAUUUGUGCUACUGAGUUGGGAUCCAUUGUGGAAGGCCAUGACGUAAAGAAGUUGAAGAUGAAUGGCGGUGUGGAUGGCAUUGCAGACAAGCUCUCCACAUCAACAACUAAUGGGCUCACUCCUACUGAGGAUGCAUUGAAGCGCAGACAGGAGGUUUAUGGAGUAAAUAGGUUUACUGAAAGCAAGGUUCGGAGUUUUUGGGUAUUUGUAUGGGAAGCACUUCAAGACACAACACUUAUCAUUCUUGCUGUGUGCGCUGUUGUAUCCCUGAUCGUUGGCCUUGCCAUGGAAGGAUGGCCUAAAGGUUCUCAUGAUGGCCUCGGAAUUGUUGCAAGCAUCCUUUUAGUUGUACUUGUCACUGCAACAAGUGACUAUCGGCAGUCAUUACAGUUCAAGCAUUUGGAUCAGGAGAAAAAGAAAAUUUCAAUACAAGUUACAAGGAAUGGGUUCAGACAGAAGAUUUCUAUUUAUGAUCUUCUUCCUGGUGAUAUCUUGCAUCUAUCAAUUGGAGAUCAAGUCCCUGCUGAUGGAUUGUUUGUAAGUGGAUUUUCUUUAUUGAUCAAUGAAUCCAGCCUGACAGGGGAGAGUGAGCCUGUUUAUGUGAAUGCAGAGAAUCCUUUUCUUCUAUCUGGGACUAAAGUCCAAGAUGGUUUUUGCAAGAUGCUGGUAACCACUGUUGGCAUGAGAACUCAGUGGGGAAAGCUGAUGGCUACACUUAGUGAAGGAGGAGAUGAUGAAACUCCAUUGCAGGUCAAACUUAAUGGAGUUGCAACUGUCAUUGGAAAAAUUGGUCUGUUCUUCGCAGUCGUGACAUUUGCAGUGCUAGCGCAAGGUCUUAUGAGCCGGAAGUAUCAUGAGGGUCUGCUUUUGAGUUGGUCAGGAGAUGAUGCAUUGCAAAUGUUGGAGUAUUUUGCUAUUGCAGUUACCAUAGUUGUGGUUGCAGUUCCUGAAGGGUUGCCUUUAGCUGUGACCUUGAGUCUUGCUUUUGCCAUGAAGAAGAUGAUGAAUGAUAAAGCACUGGUCCGCCACCUUGCUGCCUGUGAGACUAUGGGCUCAGCUACAACCAUUUGCAGUGACAAGACAGGAACACUGACGACCAAUCAUAUGACUGUUGUGAAAGCUUGUAUAUGCGGAAAUGUUCAGGAAGUAAGUUCUUCUAAGGAGAGUACUAGUUUGUGCUCCCAAAUUCCUGAUUUUGCAGUUGAAACUCUUCUGCAGUCCAUAUUUAGUAACACAGGUGGUGAAGUUGUGAUCAACCAAGAUGGCAAGCUUGAAAUCUUAGGAACACCAACUGAGAUUGCUUUAUUGGAAUUGGGCUUGUCACUAGGUGGAGAUUUUCAGGCACAGCGACAGGAAACCAAACUCAUCAAAGUGGAACCCUUUAAUUCUGCAAAAAAGAGAAUGGGAGUAGUACUCCAACUCCCUGAAGGAGGAUACCGUGCACACUGCAAAGGUGCCUCAGAACUCAUUUUGGCUGCCUGUGACAAGUUUAUAGAUCCGUCAGGUAAUGUUCUUCCCCUUGACAGAGCAGCAGUCAAUCAUUUCAAGGGUAUAAUUGAAAGCUUUGCUGGUGAAUCUCUUCGGACCAUAUGUCUUGCUUAUAAAGAAAUUGGAGAUGCUUUCUUGGCAAAGGAGCAAAUUCCAGUUGAGGGAUACACAUGUAUUGGAAUUGUAGGCAUCAAAGAUCCUGUCCGCCCAGGUGUGAAGGAGUCUGUUGCUGUUUGUAGGUCUGCUGGGAUUACUGUUAGAAUGGUCACGGGGGAUAACAUAAAUACAGCAAAAGCAAUUGCUCGAGAAUGUGGUAUCCUUACUGAUGAGGGUGUAGCUAUUGAAGGCCCUGAGUUCAGAGAGAAAAGUCUUGAAGAAUUACUUCAACUAAUUCCAAAAAUCCAGGUAAUGGCUAGAUCUUCUCCAUUAGAUAAACACAACCUAGUACAGCAUCUGCGCACUAUGUUUAAUGAAGUUGUUGCUGUGACUGGUGAUGGUACAAAUGAUGCUCCAGCACUACAUGAGGCAGAUAUUGGACUUGCAAUGGGCAUAGCAGGGACUGAGGUAGCUAAGGAGAGUGCUGAUGUCAUAAUUUUAGAUGACAAUUUUUCAACAAUUGUUACCGUGGCAAAAUGGGGACGUUCUGUAUACGUAAACAUUCAAAAGUUUGUACAGUUUCAGCUCACUGUUAAUGUGGUUGCUCUCAUAGUUAAUUUCUCCUCGGCCUGCUUGACUGGAAAUGCUCCACUAACUGCCGUUCAGCUGCUUUGGGUCAACAUGAUCAUGGAUACUCUGGGGGCACUUGCAUUAGCCACUGAACCACCGCAGGAUGACUUGAUGGAAAGAUCACCAGUUGGAAGGACAGGAAAAUUCAUUAGCAACGUGAUGUGGAGAAAUAUCUUUGGGCAAGCAUUUUAUCAGUUUAUCAUAAUGUGGUAUCUCCGGGCACAAGGGGAAGGGCUAUUUAGGCUUGAGGGCCCUGGUGCUGAUCUUACACUGAAUACAAUUAUAUUCAAUUCAUUCGUCUUUUGUCAGGUUUUCUUUGAAUAUGGCACAUGAAGUUCCCUAACAAACCUAACCAAAGAAAUUAUCUUUCAAUAAUCUGACUUCUUUAAUAUAUAAAAAAAAACUACUUUUCAUGCUUCCAAGUAAAUAAAAGCAGGUGUUCAAUGAGAUAAGCUCUAGAGAGAUGGAGAAGAUAAAUGUGUUCAAGGGCAUUCUGCAGAACUAUGUCUUUGUGUGCGUUCUUACAAGCACUAUCAUCUUUCAGGUCAUAAUUGUUCAAUUUCUUGGUGAUUUUGCAAACACGACACCACUUACCAGAUUGCAGUGGUUUGUAAGCGUGUUCAUUGGUUUUCUGGGCAUGCCAAUAGCUGCAAUCGUCAAGUUAAUCCCUGUGGGGAGCUAAGUAAAGAUAAAUGCAAUGCAGCACAUGGGAACAUUACUUGGUAUUUUUGCUUUAUUUCCCAAAGCCAUUAUCAUGACUGUCACACCUCAA